CCUGGGUGGUUGUAGCUCAGGUCCAGCUCUCUCAGGUGUAAGGGGUUUGACCUCAGAGCUGAAGCCAGGGAAGAACAGCCUUCUUCUGUGACUCUACAGCCUGACAACCUGCAGAGAGACAGACAAAAACUCUCAGUGGGGAAUACCCAGCAAUUGUCACGGAUGAACCCCGGCGAUCCCCAACUGACAUCAGGAAGACAACACCUCCGGGGAUUCCUUGACCCACCUUUCUCCAUUUAUGGUGCGUUCGAUUAUUUCUCUCCAACUCGGAACUUGGAUGAAAACGUCACGAAAAAUGUCACUUCCUGUCAGCACCCUGACCACGAUAUUUGUCAAGCCCCAAGAUCGACUCCGCACAUCACCCGACCUCAGCCUGCCCCACGAUAACGAUCCUGCCAGCAUCUUGGGUUUUGGUGUUCUAUGCUCUCCGUUAUUAGGACCUGGACAACGAACUGCCUUUUCGUAAUUAAAGGAGUUUCUUCGCAUCUGA